rnacentral:rRNA from 1 species
UACGUAGGGUGCAAGCGUUAAUCGGAAUUACUGGGCGUAAAGCGUGCGCAGGCGGUUGUGCAAGACCGAUGUGAAAUCCCCGGGCUCAACCUGGGAAUGGCAUUGGUGACUGCACGGCUAGAGUGUGUCAGAGGGGGGUAGAAUUCCACGUGUAGCAGUGAAAUGCGUAGAGAUGUGGAGGAAUACCGAUGGCGAAGGCAGCCCCCUGGGAUGACACUGACGCUCAUGCACGAAAGCGUGGGGAGCGAAACAGG